AUCCUAUUAUAAGGACACUUACGAAGUAUUCCUUGAAUCACUCCCAAGCCUCAUACAAAGACUCGUCAUCUAGUUGCUAGAAAGUUGUGAUCUCGUUCCUCAACUU
rfam:Gossypium raimondii chromosome 10, whole genome shotgun sequence.